CAUGCAGUCGAGCGGUAGAGAGAAGCUUGCUUCUCUUGAGAGCGGCGGACGGGUGAGUAAUGCCUAGGAAUCUGCCUGGUAGUGGGGGAUAACGUUCGGAAACGGACGCUAAUACCGCAUACGUCCUACGGGAGAAAGCAGGGGACCUUCGGGCCUUGCGCUAUCAGAUGAGCCUAGGUCGGAUUAGCUAGUUGGUGAGGUAAUGGCUCACCAAGGCGACGAUCCGUAACUGGUCUGAGAGGAUGAUCAGUCACACUGGAACUGAGACACGGUCCAGACUCCUACGGGAGGCAGCAGUGGGGAAUAUUGGACAAUGGGCGAAAGCCUGAUCCAGCCAUGCCGCGUGUGUGAAGAAGGUCUUCGGAUUGUAAAGCACUUUAAGUUGGGAGGAAGGGCAGUUACCUAAUACGUGAUUGUUUUGACGUUACCGACAGAAUAAGCACCGGCUAACUCUGUGCCAGCAGCCGCGGUAAUACAGAGGGUGCAAGCGUUAAUCGGAAUUACUGGGCGUAAAGCGCGCGUAGGUGGUUUGUUAAGUUGGAUGUGAAAUCCCCGGGCUCAACCUGGGAACUGCAUUCAAAACUGACUGACUAGAGUAUGGUAGAGGGUGGUGGAAUUUCCUGUGUAGCGGUGAAAUGCGUAGAUAUAGGAAGGAACACCAGUGGCGAAGGCGACCACCUGGACUGAUACUGACACUGAGGUGCGAAAGCGUGGGGAGCAAACAGGAUUAGAUACCCUGGUAGUCCACGCCGUAAACGAUGUCAACUAGCCGUUGGGAGCCUUGAGCUCUUAGUGGCGCAGCUAACGCAUUAAGUUGACCGCCUGGGGAGUACGGCCGCAAGGUUAAAACUCAAAUGAAUUGACGGGGGCCCGCACAAGCGGUGGAGCAUGUGGUUUAAUUCGAAGCAACGCGAAGAACCUUACCAGGCCUUGACAUCCAAUGAACUUUCUAGAGAUAGAUUGGUGCCUUCGGGAACAUUGAGACAGGUGCUGCAUGGCUGUCGUCAGCUCGUGUCCUGAAAUGUUGGGUUAAGUCCCGUAACGAGCGCANCCCUUGUCCUUAGUUACCAGCACGUUAUGGUGGGCACUCUUAGGAAACUGCCGGUGACAACCGGAGGAAGGGGGGGAUGACGUCAAGUCAUCAUGGCCCUUACGGCCUGGGCUACACACGUGCUACAAUGGUCGGUACAGAGGGUUGCCAAGCCGCGAGGUGGAGCUAAUCCCACAAAACCGAUCGUAGUCCGGAUCGCAGUCUG
rnacentral:rRNA from 1 species